GGCGGACGGGUUAGUAACACGUGAGAACCUACCCUUUAGACAGGAAUAGCCCAUGGAAACGUGGAUUAAUGCCUGAUAGUCUCUACGGAGUAAAUGGUGCCUCCGGGUAUCGCUAGAGGAUGGGCUCGCGGCCUAUCAGCUUGUUGGUGAGGUAAAGGCUCACCAAGGCGACGACGGGUAGCUGGUCUGAGAGGACGAUCAGCAACACUGGAACUGAGACACGGUCCAGACACCUACGGGUGGCAGCAGUCGAGAAUCAUUCACAAUGGAGGCAACUCUGAUGGUGCAACGCCGCGUGGAGGAUGACGGUCCUAGGAUUGUAAACUCCUGUCAUUGGGGAGUAAGACUUAAGCGUUAAGAGCGUUUAAGUUUGAUAGUACCC
rnacentral:rRNA from 1 species